UCUCCCCAGCUGUUUGUAGGCUUAAGUUUCAUGUUUUCACAGGAAAUACCGGGUUUUAAAUAUCCCUACAGACUAAAAUGUAAUGAAACUCUAAAAACAAUAACUAUUUUAGAUCAAUUAUAAAAAAAAAUGAAAUAUUGUAACGGCGACAAAUCGUCUAGGGAAAAUAUCACUCUAGUGACGGUACUCUGUUGCUUACGGG